GAGGGAGGUGGUGGAUGGAAUAAGAGGGAAGAGAGGAGGAGGGAGGUGCUGGAUGGAAUAAGAGGGAAGAGAGGCGGAGGGAGGUGCUGGAUGGAAUAAGAGGGAAGAGAAGAAAGGCGGAUGGAGGUGCUGGACAGAAUAAGAGGAAAGAGAAGAAAGGCGGAUGGAGGUGGUGGACAGAAUAAGAGGGAAGAGAGGAGGACGGAGGUGCUGGAUGGAAUAGGAAGAAGAGAAGAGGGAAAGAGAAGAGGGGAAGAGGGAGGUGGAGGUGGAGGUGGAGGACAGAAUAGGCGGUGCUGGUUUCAAAAAGGCCCACACUUCUGAAGGGGGAUCUCAGUUACAUUGCCUUGAUUACCUGAGUCCUCCACUGAGGGAGUUUGAUUAACCUGAACCGUGGUGCACCGGGCUUUGUCCCGUGACGUGAACGGAUAAAAGGGGGAAAUGAGGGGCAUCUUUCUUAACUCUACGUGCAUAACUUUCGUCACUUUUGUUGAAAGUGAGUCCCAGGAAGCAGCCUAUUCCAAAACGAAAGCAAUCACUUUUCACGCAUGUUAACAUAAUUUUCAUUAGCAGGUGGCUGAAUCUCAACAGAGAAACCAUCCGAGCGAGGAAAACACCCCUCUGUCUCAGGAUGUGUAGCCCAUGUGUCUGAUGCCGUCUGGACCAGAAUAGAAUAUAUAACAUGUUGCCGCCAUAGCAGUUGAUUGAUGCCAGCAAGCAUUUAGCCUCUCUUGAUAAAAACAUUAUAAAAUAAUUAGCUAAUCAGCGUUGAGCUGAAAUGUGGGUUGUCCUGGUGCAGCAAAACAGCCCCAAGGGAUACCCCAAUCAAAUCACAUCCUAAGAAAAAGCUACAGCGACUGACCGCUGAAGCGCUUAGGGGGCUGGGACCAGCCUCUGUGCCAACAAUCAACGAUAGGCUGGUAGUACCCGAACACUGCUGUAGUUGGCGGCGCCAAACGGUCUGUGGUUUGUGUGUCUGUGUGAGAGAGAAAGAGAGCUGAAUCUCAUAGAUGAAACCAAGACUGUUCUCAGGGCAGCUCUGCCGGUUUUGACGAGCAGAAGAUACUUUUCGUAGCAGGUUACGAAAAUUAACGCAGCAGGUUAGGAUAAUUAGGUAAAGGUUAGGGAAAGCUAAAAUACUAACAAUGUCCCCGACGCGACUCGAAUCUAUUUACAACCAGGCCUGCCCUGAGAAUAGACUUGAUUUCCACUAAUGCGAUGCUCCUCGCCAAACGGUCUGUGAGGGAAGACUCAUAAGAAAAUUAGCUUUCUGUUCUACUCUAGCUAUUUUAUUGUUGUGGAAAAGUCGCCUAAAUAUUUUUGUGCAGCUGAUUAGUAUGUAGUAAUUCCAUAUACUAUAUUCUUCUAUAUACGUACUGCAGGUUUUCUUAACUAAGCUACUAACUAGCUAGCUAACGAUAGCUUGUUUGGAUUGUGUUAGCUAACAGUAGCCAAGUUGAAAUGUCAGUCUGUUGCAUUGAUCUUUCUUGUUGAUCUUUCAGGUUUCUCUGUUGUUUCCCUGAAUCACCCAGUGUGUUCUUCUUAAACCAGGCAUGGAGGGUCUUCAAGAUGCAAUUCAACACCAAUUGCCCGAGUUGGAGCAUUUGGUGAGAUCUUUGUCAGAGCAUCUGAGGGCAAAUGUUGUAGUGGAGAAUAUUAAAGACCUUGAAUAUGUUCAACCGGAAGAUAUAACAGACCAUUUGACGCCGAUAUAGUGUCAGGAAUUUCAACCAAAGAGAAAAUGAAGAAAGGAUAUUAUCUGUAACAAUGGAUAGGACUCUUGUCCUCCUCCAAGCAUCAGUGACCUCCAGGAACAGUGGCCUUUCCGUUUCACCAAGUUAUGG